GUUCAAAGUAAACGUAACUAAACUGAUUCUGACAGGUAAAAAAUGAUUAAAGGCUAUGCCGUCUAGUGUCAGAAAGAAGAAACGUUUAAAUUAAAAGUAACAUGAAAACGAUGUCUGCUCUAGCUCGGUGACACUCAAUUGAAAGAACUGACAAACAAAGGUAACAAAUAACUUUGAUACUCACGUAAUGUUCUCCUUGCAAAAUUUCACCAACAAGCCACCACACAUGCACAGCAUCACAACAGACGAAAUCCCCAAGGUGAUAAUGGACGCCAGUCCAACUGGCACUCAAGGCAGUUAUCCGUUCAUGUUCCUUGUCUGCAAGUGAUUCCCGACGUUUCAGCACCUAGGCAACAGUGCUUGGACAGUGGAUUGCUGGUUUGAAAAACACCCAGUUGGCUACAUACUACAAGGCAACAGCAAAUGUAAAGUCAAUCAUAAAACGAUGGUGAAGAUGAAAAAUCCUUUGCACACUACCCGGCCUCACAACAACAGCAUGUUCCGGGCUCAUGUGAUCCUCACACUAGGGACUGGCAUCUGAUUGUUUUGAUAAUCACCUGUUUUGAUGGCCAUUGAUAAUUGGAGAGCAGCAUUGGAAUGUGACAGCUUGUCUGGGAUAAAAGCACUACUAAUUUAAUUAGUUCAAAUAACACAAAAUUUAACUAAUGAUGCUUAUUGCAUUCUUGGCUCAAUGUUUUCAGAAAAUUUCAGCUGAAGUUUACCUAGGUGCAAACAGAGAAAACAGAGAUCAAACAGGACAAUCCAGUGCAAGCUGUGUCUUCUCAAGCCAAAUAGUUUCUAUGUGCAAGGUUAACUUUUUGCAUUCAAGUUGUUGUAAAUCUUCAAAAUAUUGUUGCCUUUCCCAGAUCAAAUUCUAUGUUGCUAUUUAUUUUGAGGACAAUUGACAGACAAUGCUUCUAAGUUCUACUUAAGUGGUUGCUGUGACUACAUUUUGCUGAGUUCUCAUUUAUGAAAAUGAAAGAUCGAUAAAUUU